rnacentral:miRNA from 1 species
UCUGUAACUUAAUAUAAGACG